rnacentral:lncRNA from 1 species
AUAUAAAUUGGCAAGAAGGAAAUUGGCAAACUGGCAACAAUUUAUUGUGCAUCUACCAUAUGCUAAUUAUAGUAAUCAUUUUUCUUUUAAGACAAUAAACUCCAGGUGCAUUGGAACUUCAGUGAACUUAACCUACCUGUUCAAGUUUCCAACAACCUCAUUCAGAUUUGAAACAAUACAGUUGGAAUUUCAGAAAAUUUUAAAGAAAAAUGGAAGUCUGACAGAUGAGAUGGAUAUGACCUGGAAAAUCAUGGAGAUCAUACAGUUCAGUGAAUCUGCCCUUUCUACAUACUUUUAAAAUUUGUUUUUCAGUUAGGUGAGAUGAUUCUCAGAUUCUUGUGGAACCAAUGCACACGAGUAGCAUAAGGCAUAUUUUUCAGUAUCAAGAUGUAUAUUUUUUAUCCAUAAUAUAUUGUAUUUGCCAAUAUCAC